UACGUAGGGAGCAAGCGUUGUCCGGAAUCACUGGGCGUAAAGCGCACGUAGGCGGAUGUGUCAGUCAGGGGUGAAAUCCCGGAGCUCAACUUCGGAACUGCCUUUGAUACAGCACGUCUUGAGUCCGAUAGAGGUGGGUGGAAUUCCUAGUGUAGAGGUGAAAUUCGUAGAUACUAGGAAGAACACCGGUGGCGAAGGCGGCCCACUGGAUCGGUACUGACGCUGAGGUGCGAAAGCGUGGGGAGCAAACAGG
rnacentral:rRNA from 1 species